rnacentral:rRNA from 1 species
GAGCAUACUCCCGGGAACUGGGGCUAAUACUUCAUAGUGGAUAUGUCCUGGAAUGGUAUAUCCUCGAAAGAUCCGUCGCCUUAGGAUGGGACUGCGUCCGAUUAGGUUGUUGGCGGGGUAACGGCCCACCAAGCCAUUGAUCGGUACGGGUUGUGGGAGCAAGAUCCCGGAGAUGGAUUCUGAGACAUGAAUCCAGGCCCUACGGGGCGCAGCAGGCGCGCAAACUUUACAAUGCGAGCAAUCGUGAUAAGGAAACCCUGAGUGCCUGUCGAUGCAGGCUGUUCAUAUAUCUAAAUCAUAUGUGAAGAAAGGGCAGGGCAAGACCGGUGCCAGCCGCCGCGGUAAUACCGGCUGCUCGAGUGAUGGCCACUAUUACUGGGUUUAAAGCGUCCGUAGCUUGACUGUUAGGUCCCUUGGGAAAUCUUCACGCUCAACGUGAAGGCGUCUAAGAGAUACCGGCAGUCUUGGAACUGGGAGAGGUAAACCGUACUUCGGGGGUAGGAGUGAAAUCUUGUAAUCCUCGAGGGACGACCUAUGGCGAAGGCAGUUUACCAGAACAGCUUCGACAGUGAGGGACGAAAGCUGGGGGAGCAAACGGGAUUAGAUACCCCGGUAGUCCCAGCCGUAAACAAUGUGCGUUAGGUGUGUCGGUAACCACGCGUUACUGAUGCGCCGAAGAGAAAUCGUGAAACGCACCACCUGGGAAGUACGGUCGCAAGGCUGAAACUUAAAGGAAUUGGCGGGGGAGCAC